rnacentral:rRNA from 1 species
AAUAGAUACUCGGGUAGUCCACGCCGUAAACGAUGAGUGCUAAGUGUUAGAGGGUUUCCGCCCUUUAGUGCUGCAGCUAACGCAUUAAGCACUCCGCCUGGGGAGUACGGCCGCAAGGCUGAAACUCAAAGGAAUUGACGGGGGCCCGCACAAGCGGUGGAGCAUGUGGUUUAAUUCGAAGCAACGCGAAGAACCUUACCAGGUCUUGACAUCCUCUGCCAACCCUAGAGAUAGGGCGUUCCCCUUCGGGGGACAGAGUGACAGGUGGUGCAUGGUUGUCGUCAGCUCGUGUCGUGAGAUGUUGGGUUAAGUCCCGCAACGAGCGCAACCCUUGAUCUUAGUUGCCAGCAUUCAGUUGGGCACUCUAAGGUGACUGCCGGUGACAAACCGGAGGAAGGUGGGGAUGACGUCAAAUCAUCAUGCCCCUUAUGACCUGGGCUACACACGUGCUACAAUGGAUGGUACAAAGAGCUGCGAACCCGCGAGGGUAAGCGAAUCUCAUAAAGCCAUUCUCAGUUCGGAUUGU